UAGCAGAUUUUUUCUAAUUUUUGGAGAUUUUUUAACCAUUUUGAAUUUUGCUUUUAAGCUUUAUUCUUAGGAACUUAUGAUUUUGAUGGUUUUCAAAAUUAUUCGUUAACUAAUUUUUUUCUGAUAUUUCCUCUGCUUCCUGUUUCGGUCAUUUUCUUUCAAUUUCAAUAAUUUUGUUGCAUUUUUUCUAUUCUUUUUUUUUAAAAAAAACUUGUGUCAAUUUUUGGCCAGGUUUUAAUAUAUUUUUCUCAUGAAUUUGAGGAUUUUGUUCUCUUUUUGAAACAAGGUACAUUUUUCGUAUUCAAAUUUUCAAAAUAGUUUUCAUAAAUCACCAUUUUCCCGGAUUUGGAUCAUCUCCCCCCCCCCACCUUUAUAUUUGAUUUUAAUAAAUUUCCCAUUCUAAAAUGAUUCUUCUUAUUUAUGAAAUUUUUUACAAUUAUUGUUUAUUCUUUCUCAACACUUAAAUAAUUUUUUUCAUCGAAUACAUACUCAUGUCAAAAUUUCUAAAUUUUCACCAUAUUGAUAUUUUUGUGUUAAAUUUUUUGAAAGGAUUUUGGAUCAGAUUCGAGCUUUCGCUAGUUUUUUUUUUCUUUAAUGGUUAUGAAAUAAAAUUAUUAAAAUUCGAGCUUUGAUGAUUUACUCUGUGUUUUUUGAAAAAACUGUUAUCGAGAUUUUCGUUAUGAUUUGUUGUAGAAGAUUUACAUAGGAUAAGUAAUUAGUGUUUAUGAAAAUUUAAAAUUUAACUUUUCUGACAUAUCUAGAUAACACAUCAAAUGAUUAACUGAUUGGCAACUCAGACUGUGAAAUUUUAAUGAAUUUUUAUCAUACCACACAAAAUAUAAAUUUCUAUUUUGUGUAAGGAACAUUUCGAUCAGUGGAAUUCAGUUUGAUUGGUUCGGACAUUUUAUUCUUUUUCCUAUAAAUUUCUCAAAAAAAAGACCAUCUUCGAUGGAUAGCAACGUUAUUGCAGUUUUCUCAUUUUUUAUUAUUAGUGGUAUCAUGUCAUGUUGUAUGGCGCUACCAGAAUCCGAUAAUGAGAACAGCACAAAUAAAUCCAUCCCCAUCUGCGCAAAAUACCACGCGGUCCUUCAAGUCCGCUCACAGUUCCUGGAGGACGCAGAAUAUUGUUUCAAGUUAGAACACACCUUUCCCAAUAAAGACAAAAUGUUGGAAGAUUUGAAAAACAAUGCCUCCGUAUACAGCGAUACAAUUACUCCAGACUGUAUGAGUAAAAUAAAGAACCUUACAGCUUCUACUAAUGUGCAUACGGCGACAUGGUUACAUUUCCUCGCAUUCUCAAAUGGACCUUUGGCUAACGGACUCCGCAAUAAACUUCUGGAAGGAAAAAUUUUUGUUUUUGGAUUUUGUGCACUGGUGGGAAAGAUUUUCAAUGACAUCAGCGGUGCUGUUUACUAUGGUCCAGUACCAGAUCUCAAUCCUGAAGUUCUCCAAGAGGGGUUAAAGAGUUAUGACAUUAAGGACUAUUUAUCAUUGGAGUCUGCAAAGGUUUUGAUAGAAAUUGGAAGCAUGACAACUGUGCAUCGUGACAGAAACAGGUCAUUGGAAACAUAUUGAAGCAUUCCAAUGGGGAAAACUGUACUACUCGUAUAUAGGAGCUUCAUGUAGGUAUGAAUAUAAAUAAAGCAUACCAUUCUUUACUCAUAGUUUUGUAACAUUUUCAAGUUUUUGUACCAUUUUUCUCAGUAUUCUGAUAUUUUUACACAAUUUUUUUUGGAAUGCUUGUUUGAAUUUUAAUAAUAGGUAUUUUCUACCAUUGAAAAAAUAUUUUUUUUCCUUUUUUUUGGUAAUCUAUUUUUAUACAUUGACAAAGUCACUUCUGAAUAUGAAUAUUUCUACAUCAGUUCAUCAUCAUAACAUAUCACCCUGCUGCAGCCCAUUGCUUUGCAAAUGGAGUCAGUCUACAUGGUUGACAAUCAUCAUCUUGCUCUGGCCAUUAGUACUCUGCUUUGCACAAAGAUUGUCUACAAGGCAUCUGCUCUCGUGACUCAUCCAAAGUACUCGAGUAUCUGGCCAAGGACCACUGCCCGAGCAGCAAUCGAAAAUAUUUCUGCAUGCGUGAACACCCGCGUUCACGCGGCAGAUCACCCGCAGAUCGCCCGCAGAUCUGCCUCACCAUGCGUAAAUCUGGACUUCUCCCUCGUAUCUGCAUAGCGUUUCUGUAUGCGUAUGUGAAGCAUUUAAGCGUGCAUUUCUGCCUGUGUAUUUACGCAUGCGUAUUCGUGGCAGAAAUACAUGCGUUUCUGCCAGUGUAUUUCCGCAUAGCUUAUUACCUACUGGUUGUAUAAAUGAAUCGAUUAUGGUAAGUAAAAAAAUCGUAACUUGGAUGUUUCAAUUAGAUAAAUGAAAUGCAUUUAAACUUUGUAAUUGAUGUUCAAAAAUCAGUGCGACUUUUAAUAAUAAUUUCGGCCUUCGGGUCUUAAAUAAUUUGCUCUUUUGAUUAUUUUCACAAUUUUUCAGCUUUCAAGUUACAAUUUUUUUGCUCGCCAUGAUCGGUUCAUUUAUUACACCCUGUACACCAGUGAAAUCUGCUGUAAAUCAUUCUGUAUAACUCGUUGCAUAAGAUUGACUGAUGGGUAUAACAUUGUGUUUGCAGAGGGUAGAAUAAUGUCAAAUUAAAAUAUAAACAUUUACCUACAUUUUUUCAUCAGUACUUUCUAGCUGAUAGGUAAGUAAGUAUAGGUACAACAGACUUGUAAUGGUUUUUUUACCCUCAAAGAGUUGUGUUUACUUGCUUUUGUAAUUCAAAUUCAGUGAAAAAUUCGCAAAAAAUAUACCCAUACCUACUUU